rnacentral:rRNA from 1 species
AAUAUUGCGCAAUGGAGGGAACUCUGACGCAGCGACGCCGCGUGAGCGAUGACGGUUUGCGGAUCGUGAAGCUCUGUCCUUGGGGAAGCAGGCGGCCAUAUAUGGCCACUUGUCGGUACCCAAGGUGGAAGCCCCGGCUAACUACCUCGCAGCAGCCGCGGUAAUACGUAGGGGGGAAGCGUUGUCCGGAAUUCUUGGUCGUAAAAGGUGCGUAGGCGGCCUUUUAAGUCAGGUGUGAAAGACCACGGCUUAACCGUGGGGUUGCAUUUGAAACUGGAGGGCUUGAGUAUCGGAGAGGGUAGUGGAAUUCCCAGCGUAGCGGUGGAAUGCGUAGAUAUUAGGAGGAACACCAGUGGCGAAGGCGACUACCUGGACGAAAACUGACGCUGAGGCACGAAAGCUAGGGGAGCAAACA